GAGGUGUUAGUAUAAUA
rnacentral:tRNA from 1 species